AUUUUUUACUGUGCAAUUCAGUUUAAUUUGAUUAUGUAUUUUCUUAUAUUAUUUAAUAUAUUUAUUG
rnacentral:tRNA from 1 species